GGAUUACCUCAGUAACGGCGAGUGAAGCGGUAACAGCUCAAAUUUGAAAUCUGGCUCCUACGGAGUCCGAGUUGUAAUUUGUAGAAGAUGCUUUGGGUUGUGGGUUUGGCCUAAGUUCCUUGGAACAGGACGUCGCAGAGGGUGAGAAUCCCGUAUGUGGCCGAGGCCCGCGCCUAUGUAAAGCUCUUUCAACGAGUCGAGUUGUUUGGGAAUGCAGCUCAAAAUGGGUGGUAAAUUUCAUCUAAAGCUAAAUAUGGGCCAGAGACCGAUAGCGCACAAGUAGAGUGAUCGAAAGAUGAAAAGCACUUUGGAAAGAGAGUUAAACAGUACGUGAAAUUGUUGAAAGGGAAGCGCUUGCAACCAGACUUGGGCGCUGCCGAUCACCCCGAGUUCUCUCGGGUGCACUCGACCGCGCACAGGCCAGCAUCGGUUCGGGUGGCUGGAUAAAGGCCGUAGGAACGUGGCUCCCUCCGGGGAGUGUUAUAGCCUACGGUGCCAUGCAGCCCAGCCGGACCGAGGACCGCGCCUUCGGGCUAGGAUGCUGGCGUAAUGGUUGUAAGCGACCCGUCUUGAAACACGGACCAAGGAGUCUAACAUCUAUGCGAGUGUUUGGGUGGUAAACCCAUACGCGGAAUGAAAGUGAACGUAGGUGAGAACCCC
rnacentral:rRNA from 1 species